rnacentral:sRNA from 1 species
CCCUAGCCCCGAUGGGAGGGAAAAUCCUUUUGUGGUGGGGUUCACCACAAAAGAUUGGAAGGAACAGCGGGAACAGCU